rnacentral:rRNA from 1 species
AUUGAACGCUGGCGGCAGGCUUAACACAUGCAAGUCGAACGAUGAAGAUAUAGCUUGCUAUAUCGGAUUAGUGGCGGACGGGUGAGUAACACUUAGGAAUCUACCUUUUAGCGGGGGAUAGCUCGGGGAAACUCGAAUUAAUACCGCAUAAUUUCUACGGAAUAAAGAGGGCUUUUAGCUCUCACUAGAAGAUGAGCCUAAGUAAGAUUAGCUAGUUGGUGGGGUAAAAGCCUACCAAGGCGACGAUCUUUAGCUGGUCUGAGAGGAUGAUCAGCCACACUGGGACUGAGACACGGCCCAGACUCCUACGGGAGGCAGCAGUGGGGAAUAUUGGACAAUGGGGGCAACCCUGAUCCAGCCAUGCCGCGUGUGUGAAGAAGGCCUUUUGGUUGUAAAGCACUUUAAGCAGUGAAGAAGACCUAUUGGUUAAUACCCAAUAGUGAUGACAUUAACUGCAGAAUAAGCACCGGCUAACUCUGUGCCAGCAGCCGCGGUAAUACAGAGGGUGCAAGCGUUAAUCGGAAUUACUGGGCGUAAAGCGAGCGUAGGUGGUUAAAUAAGUCAGAUGUGAAAGCCCUGGGCUCAACCUAGGAACGGCAUCUGAAACUAUUUAACUAGAGUAGGUGAGAGGGAAGUAGAAUUUCAGGUGUAGCGGUGAAAUGCGUAGAGAUCUGAAGGAAUACCGAUGGCGAAGGCAGCUUCCUGGCAUCAUAUUGACACUGAGGCUCGAAAGCGUGGGUAGCAAACAGG